UACGGGGGGGGCAAGCGUUGUUCGGAAUUACUGGGCGUAAAGGGCUCGUAGGCGGCCAACUAAGUCAUACGUGAAAUCCCUCGGCUUAACCGGGGAACUGCGUCUGAUACUGGAUGGCUUGAGUUCGGGAGAGGGAUGCGGAAUUCCCGGUGUAGCGGUGAAAUGCGUAGAGAUCGGGAAGAACAUCGGUGGCGAAAGCGCUCUACUGGACCGCAACUGACACUCAGGGACGAAAGCUAGGGGAGCGAAUGGG
rnacentral:rRNA from 1 species